rnacentral:lncRNA from 1 species
UCCACCUUUCUCCCCAUGUCUGACGUGUUGAGUCAAAAUAAGCUGCACAGAAAGCUACACAGAAUGUUGAAGGAUUGGGGUGUACAGGGUACACUCAAGACACAAAUUCAAAACCAGCUAAUUCAUGAGUUGAUGCACCUUGUAUUGAAUGGAGAAUAGUAGCUUCAGUCCAUUUCAAUGCAAGGGAACUCCCUCUUACUAAAAGCCUCUAACUCUUUAGUGGCCGAUCACCAACAAAGAUGUGGCUAUGAGUCUUCGCUUUCUGUUUUCUUUCCAGAAAUUGGUUUGGCAAAAUAAAAGGUAAUCUGGCAAUCUUCAGCUUAUUGAUGAUCAAUUGCAGAUGCUUAUCCUCAGCAUAUAAAGUUUGAGUCUCUAGAAAUAAAGCUAAAUGAAGAUACGGAGAAAUAGAAAAGCAACUUCUGACAGGAAUGUGUCAAAAGUUGAAGUUUUUUAAUGGAAGUGGUAAGAGAGUAUGCAAAUGAAUUAGCUAUGUUCUGAAGUGAUUUGGAGAAGAUUUGUCAAGCAGAAUCUGAAAGCCUCAUUCUUUAUAGAAAGAGUAUCUUUGAGAGAAACCAAAAGCACCAAGAGAUUGAAACAAGAAAAUUGAUGCUCAAGGCUUCUUUUACUAAAAGAUAUGGAUUUGUUAAGAGAAAGAAAAGCAGAGCUGAAGCAGAGAGUUGAAGAUUUUGAACUGAACCCAGAAACUCCAGCAAGAAAAACCUAAAAGCAUGACUGAGGACUUAGGAGAUGGGAGCAGAAUACAAAGUGUCUUGAUGAGACCUAUGACCGAAAGCUAAAAAACAAACUUCUAAAGUAUCAACUUGAAUUAAUGGAUGACUACAUCAUUAGAACUAACUGACUGAUUGAAGAGCAAAGGAAGAAUAAAGGAAAAGCUGUUUACUUGCAAGAGGAGCUCAUAGUUAUUAAUCCAAAAAAGGAGGAACUCAAUCAAUCUGUAA